UCUCCGUAGGUGAACCUGCGGAGGGAUCAUUACUUAGUGAGGGCUUCGGUCCGACCUCCAACCCUUUGUGUAAACCAAACUUGUUACUUCGGUGGCGACCCUGCCGCUUCGGCGGUGCGGCGCCCCCGGAGGCCAUUAAACACUGCAUCAUUGCGUCGGAGUUAAAGUAAAUUAAACAAAACUUUCGACAACGGAUCUCUUGGUUCCAGCAUCGAUGAAGAACGAAGC
rnacentral:misc_RNA from 1 species